rnacentral:rRNA from 1 species
AACGAACGCUGGCGGCAGGCCUAAUACAUGCAAGUCGAACGAUCUCGCAAGAGAUAGUGGCGCACGGGUGCGUAACACGUGGGAAUUUACCCUUGACUACGGAACAACGUCGGGAAACUGACGCUAAUACCGUAUAAUGACUCCGGUCCAAAGAUUUAUCGGUCAAGGAUGAGCCCGCGCUAGAUUAGGUAGUUGGUAGGGUAAUGGCCUACCAAGCCUACGAUCUAUAGCUGGUCUGAGAGGAUGAUCAACCACACUGGAACUGAGACACGGUCCAGACUCCUACGGGAGGCAGCAGUAAGGAAUAUUGGACAAUGGGGGCAACCCUGAUCCAGCCAUGCCGCGUGAGUGACGAAGGCC